UGCGUAGGCGGUUUACUAAGUCAGAUGUGAAAGCCCCGGGCUUAACCUGGGAACUGCAUUUGAUACUGGUAGGCUAGAGUAUGAUAGAGGGGGGUAGAAUUCCUGGUGUAGCGGUGAAAUGCGUAGAUAUCAGGAGGAAUACCAGUGGCGAAGGCGGCCCCCUGGAUCAAUACUGACGCUGAGGUACGAAAGCGUGGGUAGCGAGCA
rnacentral:rRNA from 1 species